GUGGGUGCAGGGAGGGGCAGGAUUUGAACUCACAGCUGCCUGACUCAAGAGCACCACACCAGUGCUCCCGUGUCUGUUCAUCAAGUCAUCACUUGCCUCACUCUGCACCUCUGUGCACCAGGCGUCCUGGAGGAAGCAAGGAGAUCAAACCAGUCCAUCCUAAAGGAAAUCAACCCUGAAUAGUCAUCGGGAGGACUGAUGCUGAAGCUGAUGCGCCAAUACUUUGGCCACCUGAUGCGAAGAGCUGACUCCUUGGAAAAGACCCUGAUGGUGGGAAAGAUUGAAAGCAGGAGGAGAAGGGGACGACAGAGGAUGAGAUACUUGGAUGGCCUCACCGACUUGAUGGACAUGAGUUUGAGCAAGCUCCAGGAGAUGGUGAUGGACAGGGAAGCCAGGCAUUCAUGGGGUCGCAAAGAGUCGGACACGACUCAGCAACUCAACAACAACUCUGCACCAAACGUUCAGAGUGUGUGUAUUCUUUUUGUUUUUUAUUUUGGCCGCGCAGCAUGUCUUGCGGGAUCUUAGUUCCUCAAACAGGGUUCGAACCCAAGACUUCAACAGUGAAAUAGCCACGUUCUAACCACUGGCCCGCCAGGGAAUUCCUUGCAUACUCUUUUUUUUUUAUAACACUUUUUCUAUUUAUUUAAUUUUGUAUCUAUAAAAGAUGAUGAAUAUUCACAAAGCUUAACUGUAAUAAUCAUUUCUUGAUGUAUGUAAGUCAAAUCAUUAUGCUAUCAAC
ensembl:lncRNA